rnacentral:rRNA from 1 species
GUGGCAACAUUGUUCGGAUUUACUAGGCGUAAAGGGAGCGUAGGUGGCUUUGUAAGUUGGAAGUGAAAUUCCAUGGCUUAACCAUGGAACUGCUUCCAAGACUGCUUAGCUUGAGUAUAGGAGAGGGAAAUGGAAUUCCUGGUGUAGCGGUGAAAUGCGUAGAUAUCAGGAAGAACACCGGUGGCGAAGGCGAUUUCCUGGCCUAACACUGACACUGAGGCUCGAAAGCUAGGGGAGCAAACAGGAUUAGAUACCCUGGUAGUCCUAGCUGUAAACGAUGAUCAUUAGGUGUAGGAGGUAUCGACCCCUUCUGUGCCGCAGCUAACGCAUUAAAUGAUCCGCCUGGGGAGUACGGCCGCAAGGUUGAAACUCAAAGGAAUUGACGGGGGCCCGCACAAGCGGUGGACAUGUGGUUUAAUUCGACGCAACGCGAAGAACCUUACCUGGGCUUGACAUGGUAGAAGUANGAACCUGAAAGGGAGACGAACCGUUAAGUCGGUAGCUAUCACAGGUGCUGCAUGGCUGUCGUCAGCUCCUGUCCGUGAGAUGUUGGGUUAAGUCCCGUAAC